rnacentral:rRNA from 1 species
CCUACGGGUGGCAGCAGUGGGGAAUAUUGCACAAUGGGGUGAACCCUGAUGCAGCAACGCCGCGUGGAUGAAGAAGUACUUCGGUAUGUAAAGCCCUGUCAGCAGGGAAAAAAAUGACGGUACCUGACCAAUAAGCUCCGGCUAACUACGGGCCAGCAGCCGCGGUAAUGCGUAGGUUGCAAGCGUUAUCCGGAUUUAUUGGGUGUAAAGGGCGUGUAGGCGGGAAAGAAAGUCAGAUGUGAAAACUCAGGGCUCAACCCUGAGCCUGCAUUUGAAACUGUUUGUCUUGAGUGCUGGAGAGGUAGUCGGAAUUCGUGGUGUAGCGGUGAAAUGCUUAGAUAUACGGAGGAACACCAGUCGCGAAGGCGGAUUGCUGGACAGUAACUGACGCUGAGGCGCGAAAGCGUGGGGAGCAAACAGGAUUAGAUACCCGAGUAGUC